rnacentral:piRNA from 1 species
CAGGGAUCUAACCAACUAGGUUUCCUGC